GGCCCCAUCGUCUAAGAGGUUAGGACACCGCUCUUUCAAGGCGGCAGCAGGGGUUCGAGUCCCCUUGGGGCCA
rnacentral:tRNA from 1 species